GACAGAGGUGCCAAGCGUUAGGCGGAAUCACUGGGCUUAAAGCGUGUGUAGGCGGAUUGGUAAGUACCUUGUGAAAUCCCACAGCUCAACUGUGGAACUGCUCGGUAUACUGCUUAUCUUGAGCCACUUAGGGGCUGUCGGAACAAACGGUGGAGCGGUGAAAUGCGUAGAUAUCUGGAGGAAUACCGGUGGCGAAGGCGGCAUCCUGGACCGACAUUGACGCUGAGGAGCGAAAGCUAGGGGAGCAAACGGG
rnacentral:rRNA from 1 species